rnacentral:tRNA from 1 species
CAUGCUGAGAGUAUCUAAGUACAGUUGCCUUCCAAGCAAAAAGGCCUAAACAGGUCAGCAUAAC